rnacentral:rRNA from 1 species
UGAGGAACAUGACCUUCGGCGGGGGAUAGCCGGCCCAACGGCCGGGUAAUACCGCGUACGACCACAUGGGGACAUCCCUGAGUGGUGAAAGCAGCAAUGCGCCGAUGGAGUGCCUCGCGGCCUAUCAGCUAGUUGGGUGAGGUAACGGCUCACCAAGGCAACGAUGCGUAGCCGACCUGAGAGGGUGAUCGGCCACAUUGGAACUGAGACACGGUCCAGACCUNUACGGGAGG